rnacentral:rRNA from 1 species
UGGGGAAUUUUGGACAAUGGGCGCAAGCCUGAUCCAGCAAUGCCGCGUGCAGGAUGAAGGCCUUCGGGUUGUAAACUGCUUUUGUACGGAGCGAAAAGGUCUGCCCUAAUACGGUGGGCUCAUGACGGUACCGUAAGAAUAAGCACCGGCUAACUACGUGCCAGCAGCCGCGGUAAUACGGAGGGUGCGAGCGUUAAUCGGAAUUACUGGGCGUAAAGCGUGCGCAGGCGGUUAUAUAAGACAGGUGUGAAAUCCCCGGGCUCAACCUGGGACCUGCAUUUGUGACUGUAUAGCUAGAGUACGGUAGAGGGGGAUGGAAUUCCGCGUGUAGCAGUGAAAUGCGUAGAUAUGCGGAGGAACACCGGUGGCGAAGGCAAUCCCCUGGACCUGUACUGACGCUCAUGCACGAAAGCGUGGGGAGCAAACA